GAGUGGAUGUUGAAGCAUGAGAUGGACCUCAAGCCGUUGCUAGAAAAUUUUCCUUGGGAGCACGGUUAUGGCUCUUGGUUCGUACAGGGUGCGAGGGAUAACAAUGAUGAAGCAGUAGACAAAGAGAAACCGGAAUGGGAUUCAGACAAUGAUGAUGCCACCACUGCUACUGAAGUUAGUGUUAAGGAAAACUUCCCUGGUUAUAUUUCUACGAUACUCGGAUUUCAUCCUUACAAGGAGAUUAUCUUUUUGCGACUGUCGCACACAAGAGUAAUGGCCUACCAUCUUAGUAGCUCCAAGGUUGAGGAUCUGGGAUGUUUACCCUUAGAUGGUGAUGAUUGGAUAAAGUCGUCUGUUGUAUACACGCCUUGCUGGAUGGAUAAUUGCUUGUUAGAAAGUACUAGUUUA
rnacentral:rRNA from 1 species